rnacentral:rRNA from 1 species
GAUGAACGCUGGCGGCGUGCCUAAUACAUGCAAGUCGAGCGAACGGACGAGAAGCUUGCUUCUCUGAUGUUAGCGGCGGACGGGUGAGUAACACGUGGAUAACCUACCUAUAAGACUGGGAUAACUUCGGGAAACCGGAGCUAAUACCGGAUAAUAUUUUGAACCGCAUGGUUCAAAAGUGAAAGACGGUCUUGCUGUCACUUAUAGAUGGAUCCGCGCUGCAUUAGCUAGUUGGUAAGGUAACGGCUUACCAAGGCAACGAUGCAUAGCCGACCUGAGAGGGUGAUCGGCCACACUGGAACUGAGACACGGUCCAUACUCCUAGAGGAGGCAGCAGUAGGGAAUCUGCCGCGAUGGGCGGAAGCCUGGCGGAGCAAUGCCGCGUGAGUGAUGAAGGUGUUCAGAUCGUAAAGCUCUGUUAUUAGGGAAGAAAAUAUGUGUAAGUAACUGUGCACAUCUUGACGGUACCUAAUCAGAAAGCCACGGCUAACUACGUG